CCAGAUCGGAACAGCUUCACCUCCUCCCGAGGUUGUCCCGAAAUACGGCAACGAUCUUCCUCCUCCCUGAUCGGAGCCGCACAUAAGAACGGUGAUGCGCCCUCCCUGCAUCACCGUUUUUUU
rnacentral:sRNA from 1 species